rnacentral:rRNA from 1 species
UACGGAGGGUGCUAGCGUUGUUCGGAAUCACUGGGCGUAAAGGGCGUGUAGGCGGUCUGCUAAGUCUGAUGUGAAAGCCCGGGGCUCACCCCCGGAAGGGCAUUGGAAACUGGCGGACUCGAGUCCCGGAGAGGAGAGUGGAAUUCCUGGUGUAGCGGUGAAAUGCGUAGAUAUCAGGAGGAACACCGGUGGCGAAGGCGGCUCUCUGGACGGCGACUGACGCUGAGACGCGAAAGCGUGGGGAGCAAACAGG